rnacentral:rRNA from 1 species
CCUACGGGAGGCAGCAGUGGGGAAUAUUGCACAAUGGGGGAGACCCUGAUGCAGCGACGCCGCGUGAGUGAAGAAGUAUCUCGGUACGUAAAGCUCUAUCAGCAGGAAAGAAAAUGACGGUACCUGACUAAGAAGCCCCGGCUAACUACGUGCCAGGAGCCGCGGGAAUACGUAGGGGGCAAGCGUUAUCCGGAUUUACUGGGUGUAAAAGGAGCGUAGACGGCGCUGCAAGUCCGGAGUGAAAGCCCAUGGCUUAACCAUGGUACUGCUCUGGAAACUGUAGAGCUUGAGUGCGGGAGGGGCAGGCGGAAUUCCUAGUGUAGCGGUGAAAUGCGUAGAUAUUAGGAGGAACACCGGCGGCGAAGGCGGCCUGCUGGACCGUAACUGACGUUGAGGCUCGAAAGCGUGGGGAGCAAACAGGAUUAGAUACCCCAGUAGUC